rnacentral:rRNA from 1 species
UACGGAGGGUGCGAGCGUUGUUCGGAAUUACUGGGCGUAAAGCGCGUGUAGGCGGCCUUCUAAGUCUGGUGUGAAAGCCCGGGGCUCAACCCCGGAAGUGCAUUGGAUACUGGGAGGCUGGAGUACCGGAGAGGAGGGUGGAAUUCCUGGUGUAGCGGUGAAAUGCGUAGAUAUCAAGAGGAACACCUGAGGUGAAGACGGGUUGCUGGGCCGACACUGACGCUGAGUGCGCGAAAGCCAGGGGAGCAAACGGG